rnacentral:rRNA from 1 species
CCUACGGGGGGCAGCAGUAGGGGAAUAUUGCACAAUGGGGGAACCCCUGAGGCAGCGACGCCGCGUGAAGGAAGAAGGUUUUCGGAUCGUAAACUCUUAUCAGCAGGGAGGAAGAAAGGAACAGUACCGGACAAAGAAGCCCCGGCUAACUACGUGCCAGCAGCCGCGGUAAUACGAAGGGGGCAAGCGUUAUCCGGAACCACUGGGUGUAAAGGGUGCGUAGGCGGUAGGGCAAGUCAGAUGUGAAAGCCCGGGGCUCAACCCCGGGAUUGCAUUUGAAACUGUCUUACUAGAGUGCAGGAGAGGAAAGCGGAAUUCCUAGUGUAGCGGUGAAAUGCGUAGAUAUUAGGAAGAACACCAGUGGCGAAGGCGGCUUUCUGGACUGUAACUGACGCUGAGGCACGAAAGCGUGGGGAGCGAACAGGAUUAGAUACCCCAGUAGUC